GGCUUCAAGGGCAGCAUGCGGGUGCCAGCACACGCCGAGGAGAAGCACGCAGCAGAGGCAGGAGGUGUUUUUCUAGUGGUUGCAAUGGAAAAUGGAUUGGGUACCAUAGAACUGUUUCACAGAGAACAUCUUCCACAGGGAAUACUGACGCCCACCCACACAGAAAGCUUUUUGUUUUGAUGUUUACAUCAGACUGGACAUAAGCAAGAAGGAUGUUCAACGGCCAACAGCAAGGAAUGUGGCAGCCAUUUGCUAGCACGUGAAUAUAACUGAGAACUUCUCAAAGACUGUUAAUACCUAUUUUUUAUUAUAUUAUAAUAUAAAUAAGAAUAGCUUUUCCCUGAGGGAAACGGGAAGCUUUGUUUUGAAAUCCAAGUGUCUGAAAUUUGCUCUAAUUUGUAUCUUAUCAUCAACACUAGCCUACUGAAUAAGUACUUUUAAGUAUCACAUCUCUUUAUAUCUCAAAAGUAAUAUGGUGCUGAGUUUUGUUUUGGUGACUUCCAUGAAUUAAACCCUGGGGGAGAAAAAAAUACCCUGCCAUUUUAUAAUAGGUAUCUGCUUUCUCAACACAAAUUGAUCUAGAAAAAUAUGAAGGUUAAAGUAAACAUGCUUCAAGGGAAAAGUGUUUAUGGGAAAAGAGGAUGAAGGCUUGGACAUGCACUUGAUAGUUUAUCAGUCAUUAUGUCGACCAAAUGAGCUUCUACGGGAUUUAAAACUUGUCUUCAUGGUCAGGCUUUUGCACUUUAUGUCAGUUAGCAGGUAAUUAACGGAUUACUUAAAAUGCAUUUUCCGCAGUCAGGGUGUACACAUCCAACAAGUGUAUUUCAAGCUUUGACCAAGAAUAAAUAUUUGUAGUUUGAGGAAUUGGAGGAGUGUUCAUAUCAGUUUAUAUAAACAUGUAAAGUGACUUUAGAUAAUCCAGAAUUAUUUAUCUUAACGUAAAAAGUCAUAUGCUGAUAUAAACAUCCUCGAUGCAAAAUUUCUUGUUACUAAUUUUGCAAAGGUUAUAAACAAGGUUAUAAACAAUACGGGAGGACAGUUAAAUCAGAAGAAUAUUGGUUAGUAACCCAUAUUAGCUGUCCCAGAGUGAAGAUCAAGAGACUUCACUGUAAGAAAUUGCAAGGUAAUUUGUACAUAAAAUUUUUAUGAUAAUCAUUAUGUAACAGAUGCUUUUGUAUACUCCAUACUUCUUUAGCUGUACAUUUUCUUCUUUAAUAUACAUUUCCGUGUUCAGGUAUUCUUCUCAUUGUUAAUGCUCUCUCCUUUCUUGAAUGCUGGCAUAUACCUGACCUCAUGACCAUCUCAUAGCAAUGAAUUCAACAGGCUAAAUAUACAGAUUUAAAGUAUUUCCUUUUAUUUGGAAUUCCUAUUUUCAAUUUUCUUGAAAACAUGUAUUACAAGGCUGCUACAUAGAUAUUAUUACUCAACAACAUUCCUUUUCACAGCAUUCAUUGUUUUAAGUAGUUCUAUCAUCUUCAUUUUUAUUCACUUCCGCUGUAAUAUGAAUAUGUCUAACAUAUUCUUCCUCUCUUCAUAUGGAAGUUUUACAGUCCACUGUAUUUUUUUAUCUAUUUCUGAAUAUGCUUUUUGAGUUAUAUUUUUGAGAGUGGAAUAAUGAGAAUUGGAUAGAGAAUUGUAAAAGUAGACUUUCUCCAUAAAGCCACUGCAAUGUUUUCUGAGUUAGUUUUCAUCCCAAUCUUUAUUCGUCCAAUUAUUUUUAUUUAUGAAUUUCUUGCCUUUCAGGCCCCUAAUGUACACAGAGAUGGAAUCUCAUCUAACUCUUCACAGUAAAAUAAUAAUGUUUUCCUGGAAUAGGCAAGCUAAUAAAGAACCUAAUAAGAAAGUUUACCAGAUGCAUACUGAUUUUUCGAAUGUAUAGCAGAUAAACAAAACAUAUUUUAAGGUUCCCAGAUAAUUUGUCAGAAAGACGAGUCUUAACUCACAUCACUUGUGUAAGUCGAUGUGUGUGUAAAUUUGAUCACACAUAUUCGUACGCACAGGCAAACAGAGAGCUCAUGCACAUCCCAUCUUUAUGGGAAUAAUUAAACAUCCCUCUUGGGAUUCAGGUUGCCAUUUUGAACACUGUCUUUUGAUGACUUGCAAAAAAUUCCUUAUUAGGGUUCUUGGUUAAUAUCUACUUCUUGAGAGCUGAACGGGACAAGAAUCCUGUUGCCAUUGGACCAGUGAGGUGUUUUCUGUUUUGCCAAUUUAAAAUGUGCUGAGGCCGUAGCUUACAUUUCUUGCUUUCAGCUCAGAAAAUUCCCAUUCCUCUUUCCUUGAAGAAACAUGAAGGCAUCCCCAGGUACUCCAGCAGGACAGAAACCUGUUCUGCUGGUUCGAGCUUGCAGGCUCCAUCCCUGGACUUGUGCCACUUGACACCAGCCACUAAGGAGUUUGCCUUUUGGUUUUACCUUUCAGCUUAGUUUUUUGGACUUCCACUAAAUGGUAAACAGAAAUGUGAAGGAACCCAGCAGAGAGGUUGUUUGUCUUUCUCCUUGUACUGUGGAAGGUAGAGAGGGAAAAGGGCUUCACUUCUCCAACAGUGUUCUCAGAUGGGUCUGUAGUGCCAGCUGGUCCUGGCAAACAGGCUCUUCUCCAAGAACUCCCUGCAAUUCUUCCCUAGGGCAGACGAGGUCAAACAUCUUCCUUCUUAGAGACUCUGUUAGAAAGCUUUUUAUAAACUCUGGGUCCAAACUUGGAGACAUUUUUUUAAUGGAAGAUGUUUUUUAUCCCAGUGAAGUGCACAGGCCCUGAACUAAAUGCAGGUGCAAUGCCUGUAGGAUCAGUGAUGCCAAAACUCAUCUAAUAAGCAAGAGUGAUAGCAAAAUCAAACCCACUUGAGCACUUCGUGUGCAUGGAAGAUUUCAUGUUGGAAAGUAAUGUCUGGUGGUUAUUAUACCGUUACAGUAUUUUUAAUUAGGCCAAAGAAUCUUCCUGAAAGAGCUGUUUCUUUAGCUUGUGGUAAUCCUAGACUUCUGGAUACCAGUAUAAACUUAUCAUUAAAACUAAGUCAGAAGGCAUCAAAAUCUGUACUUUAGUGUGACACGGUUUCCUCCUUUCUAAUUUAGGAAGAUAGAGGACAUUUUAUCCUCAUCAUGAAACACUACAUAAUUGAAACAUUACAAAAUAUUUUGUGAAAUUACAUGCUCUUAAUAUUGUGAGCAUCCCCUGACUGAAUGAUCUCAUUUCCAUCAGAAUGCUGCCCUCUGCUAGCUAUUGUUUCACUGUACAGAGGUACUUCUCAGUGUUAUCUGUAGGAAAGCUUUCAGGUUUGGUUUCUCCCCUUUAACUGCUGAACACUGUUGGAACAGGGCAAAUAACCUGUAGAUCUCUCCUGAGAUAAGAAGUAGCAAAGGGAAUUUUUGCUCAAGGCUUCUAUGUUCAAACAGAUUGGGCAGCUCCUACUAAACCAUUUAAUCAAGAUUCAGAACUUGACCUUGCCCUACCUCUCCUUUCAAGCCCCCCAGUUAAGUCGUGUUAGGCUGCAAGUAUUGAAAGUUAAUGAGACUGCAGCUACAGUAAGUCACAUGUGAGAAUAAGGAUGGAGCACAGAUGGCAGAGGAGGAGAGAAGACAGCUUUCCUGUUAGAGAGAAACACAGAGCAUUGAAGCUCAGCUGGGAUCUAAAGAAAGAGGGGGAAAGUUCUGUUUCCCAGCAGAAGUCACUAGUUUGGCAGAUAGACUCAGCCAAGUCAAAGCUGCUUGUUCUCAGCUCUGCAUUAGCAGUGAAGGCUGCCCCCACAUCCCCCCUCCCCAGCACUGUAUGCUGCUGCACUCUGCCCAUCCCGGGACUUACCCAGAUAAUGAAACACGACACUUUGCACCAUAUACAGAUUUUAUAUGAAUUAGUGUGUUGCCAGAGAAGAAAGCAGGUCAGAUGGCUGAUAAGAAACUGUUGGGAUUCAUCAGUUCAGUAAGCAGAAUCACUGGCUGUCCUUCUUAGCUCUUUGAACUAGACUGACUCUGGGCAUCUUUGAUGAAAAUGUCCUUGAGAUAUCACAGGCAUCUUUCCCUUCUUUCUGUCUUCAUCAUAACAUGAACUGACUAUGUAACAAAAACCACAGCAAGAAUUAAAAUCUGUGUAGGACCAGCCCCACAAAAAUCAUGGCAGGGGAUACAACAGAUAAACCCCUAAUGAUAUACAGCUUGUUUUCUUCUCAGUGGUGAGACUGCCAUUUGUACCCGCAACAUUAUCCACUGUUCAGUUCUGUGGUAUUCAGAUUAGUCCAUCUUUUGAGUUUUAGUCAAAUCCAGUUUGGAGUACUUUCCUUGAUGUGGUCAUAUUCCUUCCAAACUCAGGCAUGACUGGAAAAUAAAAAGCUUCAAUAUGAUUCUAUGGUGUUAAAAAGGUAACAGAUUUGCUUUCAUUUUUUACAGCACAGUCGCAGCCUCAUACCCAAGAGAAAUUUGCAAUCAGAUUCCACGACACCAAAAUUCAACACCAAAAGGAAAAAAAAAAACUAUCAGUUUGUGAAAUUCUGGUAAGGGUUGCCCUGUUACAAAGCUCAAGCAAAGCAAAGAACAGCUUUAACGUUCACCUUAGAGCAAUGCAGCAACAACAACAGUAAUAUCAAUGGAUGGAUAUAAAUUUUUAUUCUGACACACGUAAUUAUGUUUUAUUAGGCCAAUAAAUUCUUAUGCUUGCCUUACAUGCUGUGGGUUGAAUGCAACUGAUUAUUCUUAAAAGGGAAUCAAAGUGUCAACUGAAUUUUAAAAUGAUAAAACAGAUUUAUCAUGUUAAAACAGUUUCAGAAUCCAUUGCACUUAAUUAUAAAAUCCUUAUAUCCAGGUUGAUGAUCACAGUAUUGUUGCAGCAUCUGUGAAAUCACACAGCAAGCAAUAUAUCCUAAUGGGCUUUAUAGUUAAUGAAGAAUGACACAAAAUUCCAAUCUCUUAUUAAUCUGGAUUAAGCAGAGAAGAAAAACUUGCUUUAAACCUAGUCUUAUAAACAGAAGGCCUAAUCCUGAGCCUGCUUGCCAAGGGGUGUUAAACUACCAACAGUAGAACUGCCGUGUUUGCUCAGUGGCAGGCAACA